AAGACCUUGCGCUUUUGGAGCGGCCGAUGCCUGAUUAGCUUGUUGGUAAGGUAAAAGCUUACCAAGGCUUCGAUCAGUAGCUGGUCUGAGAGGACGACCAGCCACACUGGGACUGAGACACGGCCCAGACUCCUACGGGAGGCAGCAGUGGGGAAUUUUGGACAAUGGGGGCAACCCUGAUCCAGCCAUGCCGCGUGAGUGAAGAAGGCCUUCGGGUUGUAAAGCUCUUUCAGCCGGAACGAAACGGUUACGGUUAAUACCCGUGACUACUGACGGUACCGGAAGAAGAAGCACCGGCUAACUACGUGCCAGCAGCCGCGGUAAUACGCAGGGUGCGAGCGUUAAUCGGAAUUACUGGGCGUAAAGCGUGCGCAGGUGGUUUUGUAAGUCAGAUGUGAAAGCCCCGGGCUCAACCUGGGAACU
rnacentral:rRNA from 1 species